rnacentral:snRNA from 1 species
GGAUGUGAGAGCAGUCCAGCUGUGACACCUGUCACCCUAUUGGUUGCCAGGGUUGAUUCAGCUGAUCUGGCUGGCUAGGCGGGUAUUCUCUUCCUCCUUCACUGCUCCAUGUACAUCCCUCCUGAAGCCAUGCACUUGAUCGAAGAGGAAGACCUUCUCCAACAGAGGAGGACCGUUCUUUGGUCAAGGGUAUACGAGUAGCUGUGCUCCCUUGCUAGAACCUCCAAACAAGCUCUCAAAGAUCUAGCCCAGAAAUUCAUGAGGGCAAGGGUUAGGUCUUAUACCUCUUUAUAGGCCCCUUUAUAA